CCUACGGGAGGCAGCAGUGGGGGAUAUUGCACAAUGGGGGCAACCCUGAUGCAGCGACGCCGCGUGAGCGAUGGAGUACUUCGGUAUGUAAAGCUCUGUCAGCAGGGAAGAGAAUGACGGUACCUGACCAAGAAGCACCGGCUAAAUACGUGCCAGCAGCCGCGGUAAUAAGUAUGGGGCAAGCGUUAUCCGGUUUUACUCGGUGUAAAGGGAGCGUAGGCGGCAGGGCAAGCCUGAUGUGAAAGCCCGGGGCUCAACCCCGGGACUGCAUUGGGAACUGCCCAGCACGAGUGCCGGAGGGGCAGGCGGAAUUCCUAGUGGAGCGGUGAAAUGCGUAGAUAUUAGGAGGAACACCAGUGGCGAAGGCGGCCUGCUGGACGGUGUACUGACGCUGAGGCUCGAAAGCGUGGGGAGCAAACAGGAUGAGAUACCCGAGUAGUC
rnacentral:rRNA from 1 species